rnacentral:rRNA from 1 species
UACAGAGGUCCCAAGCGUUGUUCGGAUUCACUGGGCGUAAAGGGUGCGUAGGUGGUCAGGUAAGUCGGAUGUGAAAUCUCCGAGCUCAACUCGGAAACUGCAUUGGAAACUACCUGGCUCGAGGGUUGGAGGGGGGACUGGAAUGCUUGGUGUAGCAGUGAAAUGCGUAGAUAUCAAGCGGAACACCAGUGGCGAAGGCGAGUCCCUGGACGAUACCUGACACUGAGGCACGAAAGCCAAGGGAGCAAACAGG